rnacentral:rRNA from 1 species
AAUCAACGCUGGCGGCGUGCCUCAGACAUGCAAGUCGAACGAUUAAAGCUCUCUUCGGAGAGUGUAUAGAGUGGCGCACGGGUGAGUAACACGUAAGUAAUCUACCCUCGAGUGGGGAAUAACAACCGGAAACGGUUGCUAAUACCGCAUAAUGCAGCGGCACCGCAAGGUGACAGUUGUUAAAGAUUUAUCGCUUGAGGAGGAGCUUGCGGCAGAUUAGCUAGUUGGUAGGGUAACGGCUUACCAAGGCUACGAUCUGUAACCGGUCUAAGAGGACGGUCGGUCACACUGACACUGAAUAACGGGUCAGACUCCUACGGGAGGCAGCAGUCGGGAAUUUUGGGCAAUGGGCGAAAGCCUGACCCAGCAACGCCGCGUGAAGGAUGAAGUAUUUCGGUAUGUAAACUUCGAAAGAAUAGGAAGAAUUAAUGACGGUACUAUUUAUAAGGUCCGGCUAACUACGUGCCAGCAGCCGCGGUAAGUCGAUAUCG